UCUCCUCCCGCGGCCACGAUGCCACACUCCCCUCCCGGAGCGCCAAGGUGACGACACUGAAUAUACCGAAUUUGGUAUAGCAACCACCAAAGAUCGCAUUUGACAGUUAUGGCAAAGGGCCACAACGUUAGCGUGUCCUGGGACCUGCCGAUCGACGACGAUGAAAAAUCGCAUCGAUUUAAACCAGCGCCCGGGACCGUAGGGAGGAAUACCGGAGAUCGAUAUUACGGCAGCAGUGCGCUUGCGCUUCUGCACGAUUGCGCGGCCCGCGAAACCCCGGGGCGCCGCGUCCAUCAACCAGGGAGAGUAGA
rnacentral:ncRNA from 1 species